AUUGAACGCGGGCGGCAUGCCUUACACAUGCAAGUCGAACGGCAGCACGGGUGCUUGCACCUGGUGGCGAGUGGCGAACGGGUGAGUAAUACAUCGGAACAUGUCCUGUAGUGGGGGAUAGCCCGGCGAAAGCCGGAUUAAUACCGCAUACGAUCUACGGAUGAAAGCGGGGGACCUUCGGGCCUCGCGCUGUAGGGUUGGCCGAUGGCUGAUUAGCUAGUUGGUGGGGUAAAGGCCUACCAAGGCGACGAUCAGUAGCUGGUCUGAGAGGACGACCAGCCACACUGGGACUGAGACACGGCCCAGACUCCUACGGGAGGCAGCAGUGGGGAAUUUUGGACAAUGGGCGAAAGCCUGAUCCAGCAAUGCCGCGUGUGUGAAGAAGGCCUUCGGGUUGUAAAGCACUUUUGUCCGGAAAGAAAUCCUUGGCCCUAAUACGGUCGGGGGAUGACGGUACCGGAAGAAUAAGCACCGGCUAACUACGUG
rnacentral:rRNA from 1 species